UUUGACGUGAUCUCAAAGAUUUAAGCUGCUACUUUACCACUGUUGUCAAUUCACCUGAGUGCUCAGCAAUGAUAAUAUGACACAUGUAAUAAUAUAAAGAAAGAUCAAGGAUAUAUAAGACUAUUAUUAUUAGCAUGAGUUUUGUAUUGAUACAUUAUAAGAUAUUCUGCGAAGAUUUUAUUGGGAUUUACAUAGUUGAACCAUAAUUAUUUGUAGUGGUUCUUUUACCAUUGCGAUUCUUGUAAGGUCGAUCCAAGUCCACUGGGCGCUGGGUCUGGGAAUCCACGUCCGCGAGAAUGCCACCCUCACCGUCGGCCGCGUUGUUUGUUCCACCGGCACCGCCAACAUAGGCGUCGUCGGCCUCGAGAUCACCGUGCAAGGCAACAGCGUGCUCUACGACUCGAAACGGCGGUUCGUGUGGCAGAACUUCGACUAGCUCACCGACACGCUUAUGGUAGGCCAGUCCCUGCGCGUCGGCGGCAGCGCGUCCGAUGGCAACUUGGGCAAGUACAGCCUCGUCAUGGAAUCGCACGUGCUGGCUUUGUACAUCAACGGCGUCACCACGAACCCGCUCCCUUACUACUACUACUCCGACGGCAUGUUUGGAAUCGCCGAGAGGCUAACUCAUGUAACUUUUACAUCGUCGCCGCCGAUCGGUAACGCAACCUCCUACGAGCUGUCGUUGGUGACGAACUCCGGCUAACUCAAGUACGGCAGCCGCCUAUCGUUUUUCCGGGAGCCGACGGCAACCUGGCUACCGGGACUGGGGCCUGGGAGACGACCUUCGCCUUCUUCUCCAACGAGAUCGGGACGCUGAGCGCGUGCGCGCUGCCGAGCAGGUACGACGACUUCGGGGUCUGCGAGAACGAGAUGUGCGUGGCUUACCCCUCACGGAAGGGAAUGUGAGGGUGGAGCAGGAGCUGUGCGGGGCCAAAGCUGGGCGACUGCAGCAAGGAUGUGGACUACUACGAGGAGGGGAGGGGGACGGUGGAGCUGCAGGAAUGAAUGCAAGAGGAGGUGCAGCGGCGACUGCAAGUGUCUGGGGAUCCCGUACCGGAAGGAGUCUCCAGUGCCUGGGACAUCGGCCAAAGUCUCGACGUCGUCUCAUUCGGUCUACGUCAAGUUUGUUGCGGGAAACAACUUUGAGAGCCGUGGCUUCGGGGCCGACGUGGCUCGGUUCGGGUCCGGACGUCGGGGAUCUCUCCGAGACGUGCCUCGAGCCCGCGGGGUCGGUCCGGUGCGAUGGUCCGAUCGGGACGGGGUCACCGUCUCCUCCGGGCAGGGGCUCGUCGUCCGCGCGACCGACGGGACCCUCGGCUUCGCACCUGCACAAAGGUCGGGUCGGGAAGCUCGACCUGACCCCUCCGACGAUCAAGUUAGCAGAAGAUGUGGAGGGGAUUUCGGAUGAAGAAGUGUUUGAGUUUCUCCCCCUCCCCGCUCAUUCAGAGUGCGAGGGUAUUUAUAGGGAGGCUUACUGUUUCCUGAUGUGUCCGCUUAUAGGGGGCAUGCUGGUUGCGUCUGAUAUUGGUUUGGCAUGACAUGAAGAAUCGAGCUUGAGUAGGUGUUUAAUGCGCCUCGACCUGUUUCGAUUCGUUUGACCGGGUGUCGUCUGAGAUGUGAGGCAUCACCUGAUGUCAGCCAAGUUUAUCAUAGUUACUAUCAUCAUCAAAGUUCACGCCCAUGCUUGUUUGUCCACAAUAAUGAUGACCGAAUAAAGCUGCCAGUUCAAGUAAGCCCCACCAGAACUUGAUCUUAUCCAGUGCUUCGUACUCAGCACGAGCACUUGGCCGAUAACACGGUGCCGUGUUUCCUCAUCUCAGCACGAGUGGAUUGAUGGAAACCAGCUCACGAAGACGAGAUCAUUGCUGCUUUAGCAUUAAAAGAACACCCUAUUGCCAUUACUAAGACUAAUGUCUCUCCGUCUUUUCUCUUUCUUGGAAUUUUUGGUACAGACAGUACCAAAAACGAAUUAUUCGAUUAUGUGGUUUCCAGGUGUAUUUUUAUUAAUUAUAUCCAAUCUAUAUUGUCCUACCUCUAUAUAAUUUGACCUGCACCUCUGGAAGCCCUUAUUUGUGAAUGGAUUUUGUGGUGGAUGAGGAAGAUCAUGCCGUCUAUACUAACUCGAGUCGCCAAGAAUCACAUGCUUAUGAUGUAUUUUGCAGGCUUUCAACUGAGAAUAAAGCCUAAUGAAUGAAUCAACGAGUUACUCUGAAGCAGGAGCUUGAAAUCAUGCCAACUCCGAGGCUGUGUGUGUCUGCGUGAAGCGUCUGUCGACUGUCGGUGCGCAACUUGGCGACGUUUUGUCGCCGCCCAUGUGCCUGUCAUUUUCCGACGAUCCAAUCUAUCCUUCAUAGAAUGAACUCCCUCUCCGUGGAGAAAGGCACCAUCUCAGAGUUGAAGAAUGCAGUAAAUGAUGUAUCCAAAGCAGCACACAGGACCUUCCAACACAGCUUGGAAUACGCCUUUCUUAGCGUCCACCUACUUCAUAAGGGCCACAUUAAUGAAGACCCUCCAAUGUGACCCUUGUUUUGGCUCCCCACAGUUCCUGACUAUGACUAAAGCUUUCAUUGUUGACCUGUUGCUGCGUUAGGAUAAGCUGUACGUCUCUGACCGACAGUGUCAAAUCAGAUCUAGGGUUGGUCAAAGUUGGACUGACUUCACUGUUACAAUGGAAAAAGUAAUGCAGCAAAUGGAUAAUGGCGAGAGGAUAACUCUACUUAUGACAUCCUUUAUAUGGAAGCAGGAACACCCAUAUGCUCACAUAUCACCAAUAGGCGGACAGAGCCUUCUCUUCCACUCUCACAGAUCUCAUGGCUGUUCCAUUUAUACCUCCUUCCUUUUCCUCUGUGUCUCUGUGUCUCUGUCUUCUUCUUCUUCUUGCUUCUGCUACCAGACAAACUCGAGGCCAAAAGGUGGAAACCUUCACUUAUGUCAACGAAGGCGAGUUCGGACCUUACAUCACUGAGUACGACGCCAGCUAUCGCGUGCUUCCCAUCGCCAGCUCCCCCUUCCAGUUCGCCUUCUACAACACCACCCCCGACGCCUUCUACCUCGCCCUCCGCAUGGGCACCGUGCGCUCCGAGUCCAUCCUCCGAUGGGUCUGGGAAGCCAACCGCGGCCGCCCGGUCCGCGAGAACGCCACCUUCUCGCUUCUCCCCAGCGGCAAUCUCGUCCUCGCCGAGGCCGACGGCCGGGUCGUCUGGACCACUAACACCACCAACAAAGGCGUCGUCGGGCUUAAGGUCCUCCCCAACGGCAACGUGGUCCUUUACGACGCCAAGGGCCGCUUCGUGUGGCAAAGCUUCGACUACCCCACCGACACGCU
rnacentral:lncRNA from 1 species